rnacentral:misc_RNA from 1 species
GAAAUGCGAUAAGUAAUGUGAAUUGCAGAUUUCAGUGAAUCAUCGAAUCUUUGAACGCACCUUGCACCUUUUGGUUUAUUCCGAAAGGUAUGCCUGUUUGAGUGUCAUUUUAUUCUCACAUCGAACUUGAUUUUAUUCAAGCUUCGAAGGUGGAUGUGGGGGUUGCCGGGGGACAUCUUCUAGAUGAGAUAUCGGCUCCUCUGAAAUUCAUUAGUUGACUGUACCAUAAUUCAAGUGCAUCAGACGUGAUAAUUGUCAUCGUUUGAGCUUUAUGCCUUGGAAGAUAAAUCGAAGUCAGCUCUCUAACCGUCUCUUGACUUGAGACUACUCUUCGGAGUACUAAAAUGACUAUUGUGACCUCAAAUCAGGUAGGACUACCCGCUGAACUUAA